rnacentral:lncRNA from 1 species
UAAGGGUCUUUUUCUGCAUUGAAGCAAAUGAGUGACAUGCAAAUGACAAACUAUCGUUCACUCAUUUUGCCAAACUUUAACAAAGGAGGUGAGGUAAACCAAACCCUGACCAAACGUACUUGACCUGAGUACCAGCCCACCAGAGAUGCAUGUAGAUGGUGAAAUGCUGAAUCUCAAAAAUUCCAAGAACUUCAUUUCACCGAAUCGACUUUCUUUUCCAAUUUAAAUGGCCACUGGUGAGUUGCAGUUAAGCCUAAUUAUGUAGCCUAAUACUAUAGAGAAUAGACAAAUUUUUUGGAGCUUGGUUCAUGCGAGCUUCGACAGAAUUCUAGCAGUUGGCUGUUUUAUCGAAAUGAGAAAACAUGCACAUUCAAAUUCUCACAGCAUCACAUAGACUGUGUGUUUGACACAACUGCUGAUAACACCAAGUGGAAAAUUUGUUUUGAAUUUUAAAUGAUAAACACUUUCUUUUGUUCUACAUCAUCUCAGGUAUGAGCUCUGAGACUAUGCAUUCUCUUGUUUCUUUAAAAUCUUGUAAAAUGUCCUCAUCCACAAAUUAUCUCCUAAAAUCUUCAUUAUCAUUCAAAUCUGCAUUAGGUUGCUGUUACAGUAAAUAUGAUCCAGUGAAAUAUUCCUCAGUCGAUUUCAUGUCUUUUAUGUGUUAUCAUCAAUUAUCUUUAGAAAUACAGUGUUCAUUCCAACACUUCAUUCCAUUGCCAACGCACAAGAUGUAAGUUUCUGAAUGGAAGUAAAAAGUUUUAUCUAGAUUGGAAUUGAUUUGCUACUAAUAAUUGGAACUGAUUUUCAACAGUGAAAGUGCGUGAUCAAGAUAAUGCCGCUAAUAAGCAACGGCGAAACAGACAACAACUAGGACGAAAAUGGGGAGGAACUUCAUCUAUUAGCGUUUUCGAUGGGAUCUGAGCUUCUGUAGAUGUGGAUCGUCAACUGCGACAGGGCCACCAUUUUAUAGUCAUUAUCACCAGUCGACAUAAUGAUUGUUGGCUUCACGAGUCAUCUUGAUCACGAUUCUUUGGCAAGGCGCGAAUGCGGUUGGAAGUGCCUCAUCCCCAAAUUAUCUCCUAAAAUCUUCACCCUGUAGGUUUCACCGUUUCAGAUUACGAAAGAAAAGAUGGCUUUUUCUAACAUUUUGUGCUUCAAAAACUCGUGUACAGUUCCCCUUUGCCUGAAGGAUAUGCUGUCUUGGACCAACAUUCACCAAAAUGUAAGUUUUUGAAUGGAAAAAAAGUUUUCUCUUUGAAUGUAUUUGUAGCUAAUGGAAACUGAUUUUCAACUGAGAAAGCGGUAAGACAAUGCUUCUUAUGUGUGUAUUCUAAUAACAUCAGACCAAAUUAUUUAUUAUAGAAGGAAAAGCUGGAAAAAAGAUACAUCUUAUUAUAGGGAUACUGUUUCAAAUAAAAGAAAACUUAAGGAUUAAAUUGGCUACUCAGUGAAUCAGAGAAUAGUGGUUGG